rnacentral:rRNA from 1 species
UACGUAGGGGGCGAGCGUUGUCCGGAAUCAUUGGGCGUAAAGCGCGUGUAGGCGGCUCGGUAAGUCUGCUGUGAAAGUCCAGGGCUCAACCCUGGAAUGCCGGUGGAUACUGUCGAGCUCGAGUCCGGAAGAGGCGAGUGGAAUUCCCGGUGUAGCGGUGAAAUGCGCAGAUAUCGGGAGGAACACCUAUGGCGAAGGCAGCUCGCUGGGACGUUACUGACGCUGAGACGCGAAAGCGUGGGGAGCAAACAGG